CCUGCCCAACCCUUCGCCCCGCCAAUCCUAGGCCCGGCAUGCAUCGCGCCGACCUUUUCCUUCCCAGCCGACCCCCCACCUUCGGGCGCCUCCAAAUGACAAGCGGCGCGGGGCAUUGUGGUCCCGAGCGUGAGAGCGAGACCGGGGGCAGGAAAAAGAAAGCAAAAGACUGGGGCGAGCCGGUAGGGCGGCCCCUGCGCACGCGCACGGGCGGCGGCGGAGGUGAAAAGGGGCGGUGCGUGGUCUACGGCGAGCGGAGUGGGGCGGGGUCGCACGGCCUUGGCGGGGAGUCCGCGAGCCGGGAGGGGAGGGGGUGGGUGAGGGAGCGGGCGGAGGAGGAAGUGUCAUGGCGUCGGGCCGUGGAGCUUCUUCUCGCUGGUUCUUUACUCGGGAACAGCUGGAGAAUACGCCGAGCCGCCGCUGCGGAGUGGAGGCGGAUAAAGAGCUCUCAUACCGCCAGCAGGCGGCCAACCUUAUCCAGGACAUGGGACAGCGUCUCAAUGUCUCUCAGCUUACAAUAAACACUGCGAUUGUUUAUAUGCACAGGUUUUAUAUGCAUCAUUCUUUCACCAAAUUCAAUAGAAAUAUAAUAUCACCUACCGCAUUAUUUUUGGCUGCAAAAGUGGAAGAACAGGCUCGAAAACUUGAACAUGUUAUCAAAGUAGCACAUGCUUGUCUUCAUCCCUUAGAGCCACUGCUGGAUACUAAAUGUGAUGCUUACCUUCAACAGACUCAAGAACUGGUUUUACUUGAAACCAUAAUGCUACAAACCCUAGGUUUUGAGAUCACCAUUGAACAUCCACACACAGAUGUGGUGAAAUGUACCCAGUUAGUAAGAGAUCUUUGGGGGAUAGCAAGAAACAUUUGAGUGAAUGUUGUUGAAGAUUUUCAGUAGUAUAGAAAAUGAUGGCGCUCUUGUGAUAUUUCAAGCAAGGAUUUGGCACAGACAUCCUAUUUCAUGGCUACCAACAGGUUGUUAUCCUGACCCUCUUUGUUGCACUGUUGUAGCACACUAUAGCUUCCUUUAAUGCAGGGCCCCCUCAAUGUGUCUCUUACCCUUGUUGCAACAGGAGACUGGACCAUCUACUGUGGUGGUACCUUCCUGUCUGCUUUGCGGUGUAUUGUACAAGGGACUUUUGGCACAGAGGGGUUAAAUGCACAUUGUGAAGUGUAGUGGUGCUUUCUGAUGACAUAUUCUCGAUUUGUGAGUGCAUAAGUCUAAAAUUGGUAGCCUGAAUAGCAGCUAAAGAUUACAAAGAGCUAAACUUAACGUAGAAAUUCGAGCAACUUGUCUCCACCUUACCACCUUCUGUCUUCAAUACAAACCAACAGUGAUAGCAUGUGUAUGUAUUCAUUUGGCUUGCAAAUGGUCCAAUUGGGAGAUUCCUGUGUCAACUGAUGGAAAACAUUGGUGGGAAUAUGUGGAUCCUACAGUUACUCUAGAAUUACUAGAUGAGCUAACACAUGAGUUUCUACAAAUAUUGGAGAAAACACCUAGUAGGUUGAAGAGGAUUCGAAACUGGAGGGCUAAUCAGGCGGCUAAGAAACCAAAAGUAGAUGGACAAGUUUCAGAAACGCCACUUCUUGGUUCAUCUUUGGUCCAGAAUUCCAUUUUAGUAGAUAGUGUUACUGGUGUGCCUACAAACCCAAGUUUUCAGAAACCAUCUACAUCAGCAUUCCCUGCACCAGUACCUCUAAAUUCAGGAAAUAUUUCUGUUCAAGACAGUCAUACAUCUGAUAAUUUGUCAAUGCUGGCAACAGGAAUGCCAAGUACCUCCUAUGGUUUGUCAUCACACCAAGAAUGGCCUCAACAUCAAGAAUCAGCAAGGACAGAACAGAUGUAUUCACAGAAACAGGAGACAUCUUUGUCUGGUACCCAGUACAACAUCAACUUCCAGCAGGGACCUUCUAUAUCACUGCAUUCAGGAUUACAUCACAGACCGGACAGAAUUUCCGAUCAUUCAUCCAUUAAGCAAGAAUAUGCUCAUAAAGCAGGGAGCAGUAAACACCACGGGCCAAUUUCUGCUACUCCUGGAGUAAUUCCUCAGAAAAUGUCUUUAGAUAAAUAUAGAGAAAAGCGUAAGCUAGAAACCCUUGAUCUGGAUGUAAGAGAUCAUUAUGUAGCUGCCCAAGUAGAACAGCAACACAAACACGUGCAGUCACAGCCAGCCAGCAGCAGUUCUGUCACUUCUCCCAUUAAAAUGAAAAUUCCCAUCACAAAUACGGAAAAACCUGAAAAAUGCAUGGCGGAAAAGAAGGAAAAGAGCGGAUCACUGAAAUUACGGAUUCCAAUACCACCCACUGAUAAGAGUGCUAGUAAAGAAGAACUGAAAAUGAAAAUCAAAGUUGCUUCCUCAGAAAGACACAGCUCUUCCGAUGAGGGCAGUGGGAAGAGCAAGCAUUCGAGCCCACAUAUUAGCAGAGACCAUAAGGAGAAGCACAAGGACCAUCCCUCAAACCGCCACCACCCUAGCAGUCACAAGCAUUCCCACUCACACAGUGGCGGCAGCAGUAAACACAGUGCUGACGGGAUACCACCCACUGUUCUGAGGAGUCCCGUCGGCCUGAGCAGUGAUGGCAUUUCCUCUAGUUCCGGCUCUUCAAGGAAGAAGCUGCAUGUCAGUGAUGCAUCUCACAACCAUCACUCCAAAAUGAGCAAAAGUUCCAAAAGUUCAGGUAGUUCAUCUAGUUCUUCCUCCUCUGUUAAGCAGUAUAUACCCUCUCACAGCUCUGUUUUUAACCAUCCCUUACCCCCUCCUCCCCCUGUCACAUACCAGGUGGGCUACGGACAGCUCAGCACCCUCGUGAAACUGGACAAGAAGCCAGUGGAGACCAACGGUCCUGAUGUCAAUCACGAGUACAGUACAAACAGCCAGCAUAUGGACUACAAAGACACAUUCGACAUGCUGGACUCGCUGUUAAGUGCCCAAGGGAUGAACAUGUAAUCAUUUGUUUAGGUCCAUUUUUCCUUUACUUUUUUAACUUAAAAAUGGUUAGAAUGGAAAACUUUCUCCUGAUCUAGCAGUGGUGACACCUGCUCUUGCUGCCACUGUAUCGAUAUUUGUAAGUGCUGCUUUAUUCUUCAUUCUGAAAAGAAGAGAUGAUAGUAAACAAGUCUUUAUCUCCACAUAUGAUAGUGUUAUAAAUACUGUAAAAGCAUGGAAGGUGCAAAACUCAGUAUUUCUACAAUUGCAGCUAAGAACAUUAGGAUGAAUGGCUGGCUGCUUCUAGGAAUAUAAGAUGCCUCAAGCAUUCAUUAUUUAUAAUUUGAAUACUGUAGCUAUUUUUUUGUUGUUGUUGCUUGGCUUUUGAAUGAGUGUAAAUUGUUUUCUUUUGUGUAUUUAUACUUGUAUGUAUGAUUUGCAUGUUUCAAUGAUAAAGGGAUAAAACAGUAUACUGACAACUGUUUACAAGAAAGUGGAGAAAAAUGUACAUACAUUUUUGUAUGUUUAGAUAUUACCAUAAAUACUCAGGAUUGGAGCUGCUUGUAAGUAUAACGAUAUAACUUUAUUUUAUCUUGUCAGAGUCCAUCACUAAUCUAAAACAAAGGUGGCACUUUUUCAUGUUAACCUUAAACUCUAGGCCUUACUGGAAGCCACUGAAGGGGGGGACACUUCACUACCAGAUGGGUACGCAGUGCCGCAGAUGGUCAUGUAUUUACACUGUGAGGCACUGAACUUUUGCCUUCAGAGCUUCUGACCAGGUGGGCUGCUGAAAUAGCCCCUAAUUUUCUGAAGGCUUGAAGAGGAAAAAAUAAAGUUUACAUACUCUUGAUGUGAAGUGCAUUUGAAAUGUCUGUCGGCUUGUUGCAGUACUAUAAACACAGAGCUGUUAAUAAUGGUUAUGUAGAUUACUGUGAUUUGAAAACUAAAUCCACGAAACUUACAUAGUGAAGAACUAGUAAGUUUUUUUCUUAAAUAAAGAACUUUAACACUACAUAUUUUAACAGUAAACAGGGAUUGCUUUUCCUUUAGUGUUCAGAAUGACACCAUAUUCUUAAAACAUACUCCUCCCAUGAAGUGUGUUUGUGUGUGAUGCCGUAUUCCUUUUUCAGGUAAAUGCAGUCUUCCUUAUAGAAAUGAACUUACCUGUUGCUCUCUCAGUUCUUUUAUAUUCUAACAAUAAAUAAAAAGAAAAGAUCACUGACUGUGCAUUGUACCUGUAUUUAUAGCUUAUGGUUGUUAUCAGGAAGCUCUGUGAGAAAAAAGGGUUAGCCUCCAGGUAAACAAGCUAGUGGAGGUUUUACAUUUGUUUGCACAUCUCAGUAUAUUCCUGUUGAGGUCAAGUUUGCACAGUCAUCUAACUUCUGAACAAACAAUAGACUUUAACUUGUUUAAAAUCUGUCAUAAACACCAGUAAUGUGGCUCCGGUUUAUCAGCUAAUCUUGAAUUUAUUCUGUGGUAAAUCUUUGAGCUGUUGAGUGUCUUUAGAUGGGGUGAAUUUUCAACUUUCGUUGAACUGAAAACUGUCUUAAUUUUUUCCUCUAUGUAUAUGAAUUAUUUUUGUUACAAAGCCACUGAUAUGUGCACAAUUGUAAUUUUACUCAAGUAUGUUGCAGUUGUAAAUAUUAGAGCGUUUAAUCUCGUGCUCUACCUUUAUUUAGCGAUUACCUAAUUUGCCAGUAGCUUUAUAAUUUUUUUUAAGAUAAUUGUUCAUUAUUUUGUCAAUGUUAUUUGAACUUAGGAUACUAGGAGCCUCUUUCUAGGGACUUUGCCUAGCUAGCAUGUCCUAACAUUUGUUCUUUGUCUUGCAUAACGUUAGUAAUCUUUGUCAUUACAUGUAACUUUGUUGCUCUGUAUGGCAUAUUAUUGUAUCCAUAAACAUGGUAAUUUUGAUACAGUUAUACUUUUACAGUGGUACAUAAUCUGAGGACUAGUAUAGAAUUAAGCUGAGUGCAAGAUGAGGGCGGGGAAGGGUUUUGUUCUUGGUAAUUUAGAUGUGAAACCUCUAAGGAGCUAUCAUGUGAAACGACAUAGGGUGGUCGUGCUACUGUAUAAUGGGGGAUGAUAAUACCAGGAAUUUUAAUAAGAUUUUGUAAAGAAAAUCCAAAAAAGUAGUGAACUUAUUUUCAGUAUGACAUAGAAAACAAUGUGAAUAUUUAAGGUCUGUGACUAUACUUAAACUUCACUAAGAAUUUGCAGAAUUGUUUUGAGAUGUGGGAAUAAAGGUGAUUUUGUUGAAUCUUUAUUGGUGCUAAUGAUGGACAGUUUAAAGGUAGCUAGUAUAUAUUGUUAUGGGUCAGUACUUAUUAGUACUUCCAAAAUUAAAUUUGAAAUGCUAUGUAUUCACUUUUCACUCUGUAAAUGUAAUUCUUUACAAUGACUUUAUUUAUUAAAGGGCAGCCAGUUGUAAUUUGUACAGGAUUGUGUGAGCUAUUCAAACUCUUUAACCUCUGAAGAGGUUUAUAGGUUCUAAAACCACCAUGGGGAUGAAUAUGAAAAUCCUUUUAAGUUUCAUUUCCAUUAAAUGAAAACCCCUAUUA